rnacentral:rRNA from 1 species
CCUACGGGAGGCAGCAGUAGGGAAUCUUCCACAAUGGGCGAAAGCCUGAUGGAGCAACGCCGCGUGGGUGAAGAAGGUCUUCGGAUCGUAAAACCCUGUUGUUAGAGAAGAAAGUGCGUGAGAGUAACUGUUCACGUUUCGACGGUAUCUAACCAGAAAGCCACGGCUAACUAAGUGCCAGCAGCCGCGGUAAUACGUAGGUGGAAAGCGUGAUCCGGAAUUAUUGGGCGUAAAGGGAACGCAGGCGGCCUUUUAAGUCUGAUGUGAAAGCCUUCGGCUUAACCGGCGUAGUGCAUUGGAAACUGGACGACUGGAGUGCAGAAGAGGAGAGUGGAACUCCUUGUGUAGCGGUGAAAUGCGUAGAUAUAUGGAAGAACACCAGUGGCGAAGGCGGCUCUCUGGUCUGUAACUGACGCUGAGGUUCGAAAGCGUGGGUAGCAAACAGGAUUAGAUACCCGGGUAGUC